rnacentral:rRNA from 1 species
GAUGAACGCUGGCGGCGUGCUUAACACAUGCAAGUCGAACGAUGAAGCCCAGCUUGCUGGGUGGAUUAGUGGCGAACGGGUGAGUAACACGUGAGUAACCUGCCCUUAACUCUGGGAUAAGCCUGGGAAACUGGGUCUAAUACCGGAUAGGAGCGUCCACCGCAUGGUGGGUGUUGGAAAGAUUUAUCGGUUUUGGAUGGCCUCGCGGCCUAUCAGCUUGUUGGUGAGGUAAUGGCUCACCAAGGCGACGCCGGGUAGCCGGCCUGAGAGGGUGACCGGCCACACUGGGACUGAGACACGGACCAGACUCCUACGGGAGGCAGCAGUGGGGAAUAUUGCACAAUGGGCGCAAGCCUGAUGCAGCGACGCCGCGUGAGGGAUGACGGCCUUCGGGUUGUAAACCUCUUUCAGUAGGGAAGAAGCGAAAGUGACGGUACCUGCAGAAGAAGCACCGGCUAACUACGUG